UACGUAGGUGGCAAGCGUUGUCCGGAUUUACUGGGCGUAAAGGGCGUGCAGGCGGUUUGUUAAGUCUAGGGUGAAAGCUCCCGGCUCAACUGGGAGAGGUCCUUGGAUACUGGCAGACUUGAGGAGGGUAGAGGAGAGUGGAAUUCCCGGUGUAGUGGUGAUAUGCGUAGAUAUCGGGAGGAACACCAGUGGCGAAGGCGGCGCUCUGGGCUGGAACUGACGCUGAGGAGCGAAAGCGUGGGGAGCGAACAGG
rnacentral:rRNA from 1 species